rnacentral:rRNA from 1 species
UUAAGCGACUAAGCGUACACGGUGGAUGCCCUGGCAGUCAGAGGCGAUGAAGGGCGUGCUAAUCUGCGAUAAGCGCCGGUAAGGUGAUAUGAACCGUUAUAACCGGCGAUUUCCGAAUGGGGAAACCCAGUGUGAUUCGUCACACUAUCAUUAACUGAAUCCAUAGGUUAAUGAGGCGAACCGGGGGAACUGAAACAUCUAAGUACCCCGAGGAAAAGAAAUCAACCGAGAUUCCCCCAGUAGCGGCGAGCGAACGGGGAGGAGCCCAGAGCCUGAAUCAGCAUGUGUGUUAGUGGAAGCGUCUGGAAAGGCGCGCGAUACAGGGUGACAGCCCCGUACACAAAAGCGCAUGUGUUGUGAGCUCGAUGAGUAGGGCGGGACACGUGGUAUCCUGUCUGAAUAUGGGGGGACCAUCCUCCAAGGCUAAAUACUCCUGACUGACCGAUAGUGAACCAGUACCGUGAGGGAAAGGCGAAAAGAACCCCGGCGAGGGGAGUGAAAAAGAACCUGAAACCGUGUACGUACAAGCAGUGGGAGCCCCACCACUAAGCCAGUGGUGAACUCCACAUACGCAUCCUUUGCUGAGGAUACGGUUAACGGAGCGCAAGCGACGUUCAACCGCAAAAGAAGCAGAGGGGGCUUAGUGGUGGGGUGACUGCGUACCUUUUGUAUAAUGGGUCAGCGACUUAUAUUCUGUAGCAAGGUUAACCGUAUAGGGGAGCCGGAGGGAAACCGAGUCUUAAUUGGGCGUUAAGUUGCAGGGUAUAGACCCGAAACCCGGUGAUCUAGCCAUGGGCAGGUUNAGGGAAACCGAGUCUUAACCGGGCGUUAAGUUGCAGGGUAUAGACCCGAAACCCGGUGAUCUAGCCAUGGGCAGGUUGAAGGUUGGGUAACACUAACUGGAGGACCGAACCGACUAAUGUUGAAAAAUUAGCGGAUGACCUGUGGCUGGGGGUGAAAGGCCAAUCAAACCGGGAGAUAGCUGGUUCUCCCCGAAAGCUAUUUAGGUAGCGCCUCGUGAAUUCAUCUCCGGGGGUAGAGCACUGUUUCGGCUAGGGGGCCAUCCCGGCUUACCAACCCGAUGCAAACUGCGAAUACCGGAGAAUGUUAUCACGGGAGACACACGGCGGGUGCUAACGUCCGUCGUGAAGAGGGAAACAACCCAGACCGCCAGCUAAGGUCCCAAAGUCAUGGUUAAGUGGGAAACGAUGUGGGAAGGCCCAGACAGCCAGGAUGUUGGCUUAGAAGCAGCCAUCAUUUAAAGAAAGCGUAAUAGCUCACUGGUCGAGUCGGCCUGCGCGGAAGAUGUAACGGGGCUAAACCAUGCACCGAAGCUGCGGCAGCGAGUAAUAGCUCACUGGUCGAGUCGGCCUGCGCGGAAGAUGUAACGGGGCUAAACCAUGCACCGAAGCUGCGGCAGCGAACGUAUCACUUAAAGCGAUUCAGCGGGUUACGAUUGACGGAGCGAAGCGACGUCAAAGCGUAUACAAAGUCGAGUCGGUUUAAGGAUACGUUCGUUGGGUAGGGGAGCGUUCUGUAAGCCUGUGAAGGUGGCCUGUGAGGGUUGCUGGAGGUAUCAGAAGUGCGAAUGCUNGUUGGGUAGGGGAGCGUUCUGUAAGCCUGUGAAGGUGGCCUGUGAGGGUUGCUGGAGGUAUCAGAAGUGCGAAUGCUGACAUAAGUAACGAUAAAGCGGGUGAAAAGCCCGCUCGCCGGAAGACCAAGGGUUCCUGUCCAACGUUAAUCGGGGCAGGGUGAGUCGACCCCUAAGGCGAGGCCGAAAGGCGUAGUCGAUGGGAAACGGGUUAAUAUUCCCGUACUUGGUGUUACUGCGAAGGGGGGACGGAGAAGGCUAUGUUGGCCGGGCGACGGUUGUCCCGGUUUAAGCGUGUAGGUGUGUGUUCCAGGUAAAUCCGGUUCACUUUAACACUGAGGCGUGAUGACGAGGCACUACGGUGCUGAAGCAACAAAUGCCCUGCUUCCAGGAAAAGCCUCUAAGCAUCAGGUAACAUCAAAUCGUACCCCAAACCGACACAGGUGGUCAGGUAGAGAAUACCAAGGCGCUUGAGAGAACUCGGGUGAAGGAACUAGGCAAAAUGGUGCCGUAACUUCGGGAGAAGGCACGCUGACAUGUAGGUGAAGUGAUUUACUCAUGGAGCUGAAGUCAGUCGAAGAUACCAGCUGGCUGCAACUGUUUAUUAAAAACACAGCACUGUGCAAACACGAAAGUGGACGUAUACGGUGUGACGCCUGCCCGGUGCCGGAAGGUUAAUUGAUGGGGUCAGCGCAAGCGAAGCUCCUGAUCGAAGCCCCGGUAAACGGCGGCCGUAACUAUAACGGUCCUAAGGUAGCGAAAUUCCUUGUCGGGUAAGUUCCGACCUGCACGAAUGGCGUAAUGAUGGCCAGGCUGUCUCCACCCGAGACUCAGUGAAAUUGAACUCGCUGUGAAGAUGCAGUGUACCCGCGGCAAGACGGAAAGACCCCGUGAACCUUUACUAUAGCUUGACACUGAACAUUGAGCCUUGAUGUGUAGGAUAGGUGGGAGGCUUUGAAGCGUGGACGCCAGUCUGCGUGGAGCCGGCCUUGAAAUACCACCCUUUAAUGUUUGAUGUUCUAACGUGGACCCGUGAUCCGGGUUGCGGACAGUGUCUGGUGGGUAGUUUGACUGGGGCGGUCUCCUCCUAAAGAGUAACGGAGGAGCACGAAGGUUGGCUAAUCCUGGUCGGACAUCAGGAGGUUAGUGCAAUGGCAUAAGCCAGCUUGACUGCGAGCGUGACGGCGCGAGCAGGUGCGAAAGCAGGUCAUAGUGAUCCGGUGGUUCUGAAUGGAAGGGCCAUCGCUCAACGGAUAAAAGGUACUCCGGGGAUAACAGGCUGAUACCGCCCAAGAGUUCAUAUCGACGGCGGUGUUUGGCACCUCGAUGUCGGCUCAUCACAUCCUGGGGCUGAAGUAGGUCCCAAGGGUAUGGCUGUUCGCCAUUUAAAGUGGUACGCGAGCUGGGUUUAGAACGUCGUGAGACAGUUCGGUCCCUAUCUGCCGUGGGCGCUGGAGAACUGAGGGGGGCUGCUCCUAGUACGAGAGGACCGGAGUGGACGCAUCACUGGUGUUCGGGUUGUCAUGCCAAUGGCACUGCCCGGUAGCUAAAUGCGGAAGAGAUAAGUGCUGAAAGCAUCUAAGCACGAAACUUGCCCCGAGAUGAGUUCUCCCUGAGACUUAAAGUCUCCUGAAGGAACGUUGAAGACGACGACGUUGAUAGGCCGGGUGUGUAAGCGCAGCGAUGCGUUGAGCUAACCGGUACUAAUGAACCGUGAGGCUUAACCUU